rnacentral:rRNA from 1 species
GACGAACGCUGGCGGCGUGCUUAACACAUGCAAGUCGAACGGAAAGGCCCUGCUUUUGUGGGGUGCUCGAGUGGCGAACGGGUGAGUAACACGUGAGUAACCUGCCCUUGACUUUGGGAUAACUUCAGGAAACUGGGGCUAAUACCGGAUAGGAGCUCCUGCUGCAUGGUGGGGGUUGGAAAGUUUCGGCGGUUGGGGAUGGACUCGCGGCUUAUCAGCUUGUUGGUGGGGUAGUGGCUUACCAAGGCUUUGACGGGUAGCCGGCCUGAGAGGGUGACCGGCCACAUUGGGACUGAGAUACGGCCCAGACUCCUACGGGAGGCAGCAGUGGGGAAUAUUGCACAAUGGGCGGAAGCCUGAUGCAGCAACGCCGCGUGCGGGAUGACGGCCUUCGGGUUGUAAACCGCUUUCGCCUGUGACGAAGCGUGAGUGACGGUAAUGGGUAAAGAAGCACCGGCUAACUACGUGCCAGCAGCCGCGGUGAUACGUAGGGUGCGAGCGUUGUCCGGAUUUAUUGGGCGUAAAGGGCUCGUAGGUGGUUGAUCGCGUCGGAAGUGUAAUCUUGGGGCUUAACCCUGAGCGUGCUUUCGAUACGGGUUGACUUGAGGAAGGUAGGGGAGAAUGGAAUUCCUGGUGGAGCGGUGGAAUGCGCAGAUAUCAGGAGGAACACCAGUGGCGAAGGCGGUUCUCUGGGCCUUUCCUGACGCUGAGGAGCGAAAGCGUGGGGAGCGAACAGGCUUAGAUACCCUGGUAGUCCACGCUGUAAACGGUGGGUACUAGGUGUGGGGUCCAUUCCACGGGUUCCGUGCCGUAGCUAACGCUUUAAGUACCCCGCCUGGGAAGUACGGCCGCAAGGCUAAAACUCAAAGGAAUUGACGGGGCCCCGCACAAGCGGCGGAGCAUGCGGAUUAAUUCGAUGCAACGCGUAGAACCUUACUUGGGUUUGACAUGGAUCGGGAGUGCUCAGAGAUGGGUGUGCCUCUUUUGGGGUCGGUUCACAGGUGGUGCAUGGCUGUCGUCAGCUCGUGUCGUGAGAUGUUGGGUUAAGUCCCGCAACGAGCGCAACCCUUGUUCACUGUUGCCAGCACGUUAUGGUGGGGACUCAGUGGAGACCGCCGGGGUCAACUCGGAGGAAGGUGGGGAUGACGUCAAGUCAUCAUGCCCCUUAUGUCCAGGGCUUCACGCAUGCUACAAUGGCUGGUACAGAGAGUGGCGAGCCUGUGAGGGUGAGCGAAUCUCGGAAAGCCGGUCUCAGUUCGGAUUGGGGUCUGCAACUCGACCUCAUGAAGUCGGAGUCGCUAGUAAUCGCAGAUCAGCAACGCUGCGGUGAAUACGUUCCCGGGGCU